rnacentral:rRNA from 1 species
AUGGCAGUUCGUGACGGCGUCAUCUUCGCCAAGCUACGGGGUUUUUCGAAAGUCGUGCUCGAGACAGAUUGCUUGGAGGAAGUCAACCUCUGGGCCGCUCGGCACGAUUCUCGCUCUAUUGUGGCACCCAUCUUAGUAGAAAUUGGAGAGCUAGCUAGCACUUUUACUUCAUUUGUAAUUCAGCAUGUAUCCAGGUCAGUUAACGUCCCUCAUAUCUGUGCUAAGCAUGCUUGCACGAUUGAUGGAACCGAGAGUUGGCUUGACAACACUCCUAGCUUCUUGAUCAGCAGCCUUUUGGCUGACUGCUCGGCGAACGACUUCGUUUAA